rnacentral:rRNA from 1 species
GGAGUUAGCCGGUGCUUCUUCUGUGAGUGAUGUCCUUCCUGCCGGUUAUUGACCCGCAGGCCUUCUUCCUCACUGAAAGUGCUUUACAACCCGAAGGCCUUCUUCACACACGCGGCAUGGCUGGAUCAGGGUUGCCCCCAUUGUCCAAUAUUCCCCACUGCUGCCUCCCGUAGGAGUCUGGGCCGUGUCUCAGUCCCAGUGUGGCUGAUCAUCCUCUCAGACCAGCUACGGAUCGUCGCCUUGGUGAGCCGUUACCUCACCAACCAGCUAAUCCGACAUAGGCUCAUCCGAUAGCGCGAGGCCCGAAGGUCCCCCGCUUUCCCCCGUAGGGCGUAUGCGGUAUUAGCCUGGGUUUCCCCAGGUUAUCCCCCACUACCGGGCAGAUUCCUAUGCAUUACUCACCCGUCCGCCGCUCGCCACCAGGGAGCAAGCUCCCCGUGCUGCCGCUCGACUUGCAUGUGUUAGGCCUGCCGCCACGCGUCAUCUGAGCANGAUACAACUACUGA